AUUGAACGCUGGCGGCAGGCCUAACACAUGCAAGUCGAGCGGAUGAAGGGAGCUUGCUCCUGGAUUCAGCGGAGGACGGGUGAGUAAUGCCUAGGAAUCUGCCUGGUAGUGGGGGAUAACGUCCGGAAACGGGCGCUAAUACCGCAUACGUCCUGAGGGAGAAAGUGGGGGAUCUUCGGACCUCACGCUAUCAGAUGAGCCUAGGUCGGAUUAGCUAGUUGGUGGGGUAAAGGCCUACCAAGGCGACGAUCCGUAACUGGUCUGAGAGGAUGAGCAGUCACACUGGAACUGAGACACGGUCCAGACUCCUAGGGGAGGCAGCAGUGGGGAAUAUGGGACAGUGGGCGAAAGACUGUGCCAGCCAUGCGGCGUGUGUGAAGAAGGUCUUCGGAUGGUAAAGCACUUUAAGUUGGGAGGAAGGGCAGUAAGUUAAGACCGUGCUAAUUGAAGGUUACCAACAAAGUAAGCACCGGCAAACAUCGU
rnacentral:rRNA from 1 species